GAUGGCACUGGCAGGAGGUCUGAAGGCAGAGGGACAGUGAGAUUGUGAUAUUUACUCCCCUGGCUCUCUCCCUGCUGGGUUGUGAGUUGGCUGCGUUGCUCUAUUAAACACCACAGCUACCAUAUGAAGACCUCCUCAAAACAGCUUUCUCUUGCAUCAGGAGAGACUGCCUACCUGGGAAGAGCUGGGAAAGAGAUUCCCUUUCUGUAGGGGCAGUCCAGCGGAGGUUCCUUCAAAAGAAUAUGCUUCCAUGAGCAUCCUUAUGUUUUGGAACUGCUUUCCAGAAAACAUUACCUUUUGGGAACGAGAAUCCAUUUAAAAAAUCUCAGGUCCCAGCAAUGAGAAGGAAUAUCUAACCUUAAAAGCAACUGCACAUUUCUCUUGUCCUUGACAAUACAAGAGCUCAUACAAGACAACACGAAGGCUAAAUGAGUAAUUUUUUCCCUUCGCAUGAAAGGACGAGAGGUGUCAGAAAAUGAAGUCUAAAUCUGCUUCAGGAAGGAAGGAAAUGAGAGAAGCUAGGAAAACAGCACUUCCUCCUAUGGUUUAUGUCGCUGGAGUUCACUCUGGACAGAAGGUCAGCAGUCACAGCCAGGUUCCUCAGAGAUUCUUCAGAUAACUAGCAACAGAUGAGGGAAAAGCAGGACCCCUCUUGGCCGCAGCAUCCCCACAUGGCUGAGAAGCACGGCCUGGGCCAUCUGCUCUUCAACAGCGGCCUCCUACCCUGCGUGCCCCCAGGACCGCAGCACUGACUCACCACACGGACUCUGGUUCCACAGGGUACAGAAUGUCGAACUGGAAGAACAAAUGAAAACCCUGCGCUGGCUUAGGUGAGCUGACCAGAGAAACUAGGGUAGGAAAGUAAAGGAAUCUGCUGUCCUAUACCGUCUGAAACUACUUAUAUUGCAACACUUUGCUGAUUUCAAACUUGGCCCAAGUUGGAAGGCAACAACUCCAGAUGGAACAGGAUACAUGUCAGAGUUUCCACCAAUCGUGGAAGGCCGCCUCAGUCCUUCUCAGGAUUUAAACUGAGCAACCCUUAUCUAAACCACCCGAACACUUCUAUAAAUUUUUUUUGUUUUACGAAAGACAGAAUUUAAAAUAAGAAAGCUUCAGGAUUGACUCUCACAGUACAGUAGUUUUAACUAAUUUACAGCGUCUACGCCACCCAUAUUAAACUGCUGUUUUCCUUCCA